rnacentral:rRNA from 1 species
UUAACACAUGCAAGUCGAGGGGCAGCAUAACACUUCGGUGUUGAUGGCGACCGGCGCACGGGUGCGUAACACGUAUAGAACCUACCCAUAACAGGGGGAUAGCCCAGAGAAAUUUGGAUUAAUACCCCAUAGUGUAUUAAUGAGGCAUCUCAUUUUUAUUAAAGAUUUAUCGGUUAUGGAUGGCUAUGCGUCCUAUUAGUUUGUUGGUGAGGUAAUGGCUCACCAAGGCUACGAUAGGUAGGGGUUCUGAGAGGAAUGUCCCCCACACUGGUACUGAGACACGGACCAGACUCCUACGGGAGGCAGCAGUGAGGAAUAUUGGACAAUGGGCGCAAGCCUGAUCCAGCCAUGCCGCGUGCAGGAAGAAGGCUUUCUAGUUGUAAACUGCUUUUAUUCACGAGGAAUAUGUCCCUUGCGAGGGAUUUUGACGUUAGUGUUUGAAUAAGCACCGGCUAACUCCGUGCCAGCAGCCGCGGUUAUACGGAGGGUGCAAGCGUUAUCCGGAAUCAUUGGGUU